AUUGGAUUUUCUGAGAUUGGAAGGCGGCUGUUUCUCGAAAUGUGCCCGAGCCAGCCCCACGCCGCUGCGGGAGAAAACAAGACAAGGCGUGGACGCGCUCAACGUGGUGUCAUCCUAGUAAAAACCGGCUCGGAAAAAAAAAAAAAGCUUCAGGACACUGCUGAAUCGACCACUUUCUGGCAAGGCUCUCCUGCUCCAAAAGACAAAUAAACGGGGAAAAAAAAAAAAAAAAUCCUGAUUACCGCGGAGGUGUUCCCGGGCACACGGGAGAACGGGGCGCGGGCCCGUGGCGUCUCGCGGAAUGGACGGAGGCGCGCAGAGCCCGGCCCUCCCUCCCCGAGGAGCGCGCCCCUUCCCCGGGAGUCGGGCCCCCGCCACCGCGGGAGAGGUGGCGUCACUGAUGACGUCGUUAAGGGGCGGGCACACCGCCUUAUAUGGAGCGUGGGGUUCGGUCGCUCGCUGUCGCGAUCCUGCCUUGCCCCGACCCCCCCUCCCCGACGGGGGGGGCAGGACCGCGGCGCAGAGAGGUCCCGAGAUCUUCUUGCAAGUGGCUUCGAGGAAGCGGGAAGGGGGCAAAACCCUCUCGGCGGGGAUGUGACCCGCGUGGAGGGUCGUGGGGAGGUUUGGGGAUGGACAAAGGGUGGGAUGCUGGAUGCGCCCCUCCACGAUCGCCUCUCUAUAAAUGCACGGGCGGACAUGCCCAGAAAUACCUAUAUUUGAAGACUUCAUGUGCACACACAAAUAUAUCCACAGCUAUAGGUCCGCCUUGUCCAUCUAUCUAUCUAUCUAUAUAUCUCCAUAUAAAUAUAUACUUAUAUAUAUUUUUAUACAUUUAUAUUUAUAUAUAUAUAUAUCUCCUGCUCAAGUGAUGAGCUUUUUCCGCCCAGUAAGGGCUACGACUUCCUUCUCUUUUUUUUUUUUUAAAUUUAAUAAUUUUUUUAUAUUUAUUUUUGUGAGUUUCCAACGUCCCUGUGUUAAUAUUUCACCGACUCCGUGAAAAUCGGCGUUAAUAUCUGAAUGAAUCGGUGAAAAUCGAAAGUCCGAUUUCUGUUAUCAGGAUCCCCUUUCUCCAAGGGGUGAGGGAAAAGGGAAAAAAAAAAAAAAAAGAUGUGUUAGAAAGCAAUCUAUUUUGCUGGUGUUGGGGGUUAAUGACUAUUGCCAAAGAUAAGUGAAUUAUCAAAGCUGUUGCUCUACCCGAUCUCAAAAUCCAUUACAUUGCUGGCCGUCUAAUUAAAUACGUAAGUAUAAUAAAAUCAUAUUUUAUGACUA